rnacentral:lncRNA from 1 species
AUGGUCCAGAGAGAGGGAGAGGGAGAGGGAGAGCCAGACAGACAGGGAGAGGGAGAGGGAGAGACAGAGAGAAAGACAGAGACAGAGAGAGAGAAAGAGACACAGAGACAGAGGAGAGAGACAGAGACAGAGAGAGAAAAAGAGAGACAGAGACAGAGAGAGAAAGAUUAUAAGAGAGACACACAGACAGAGGAGAGAAAGAGAGACAGAAAAAGAGACAGAGACACACAGAGAGAAAGAAAGAGAAAAAGAGAGACAUACACAGAGAAAGAUAGAGACAGAGAGAAAGAGACAGAGAUAGAGAGAAAGAGAAUGAGAGACAGAGACAGACAGACAGAGGGAGGGAGGGCGAGAGAGAGAGAGAGAGAGAGAGAGAGAGAGAGAGAGAGAGAGAGAGAGAGAAAGAGAAUAAGAGAGACACACAGACAGAGGAGAGAAAGAGAGACAGAAAAAGAGACAGAGACACACAGAGAGAAAGAAAGAGAAAAAGAGAGACAUACACAGAGAAAGAUAGAGACAGAGAGAAAGAGACAGAGAUAGAGAGAAAGAGAAUGAGAGACAGAGACAGACAGACAGAGGGAGGGAGGGCGAGAGAGAGAGAGAGAGAGAGAGAGAGAGAGAGAGAGAGAGAGAGAGAGAGAGAGAGAGAGAGAGAGAGAGAGAGAAGCAGUUUAUUCAAGUUAGGGUGGGUUUCUUUGCCAAGUGUGUGGACCACCUUCCACUCUGUAGUUCCCCAGAAGGAGGGAAUCUUUGCUUCCAUUUUCCCUUUGGGUGGCAGCGAUGCCCUUUCACUUGUCUGCUCAAGCAGGUCUCAGGACUGCCCCUUCCCUCCUUGCAUGGUGUUUUUGACAGCCAUGGAGGACUUCCAGAGAGUCACUGGGUCCUGUCUUUUGGUAGUAAGGGAACUGCAAGCACCCAUGAUCCCCCCUAGGCUAAAGCACAACCACACACCAUCUCUGCAUUUUAGAGUGAUGCCAGAGGCUGACAGGUGAAGUGACUUGUCCAUAGUCUCAAAGCCAGUAGGAGUCAAAGGCAAGAUUCAACCCAGUUCUGGUGGCCUCCAAGUCUGAGCCCUCUUGCUUCCCUGCCCAAGCUGCCUGCCUCAUCUGGGAUGAUUGGAGCAAGGACUAGUUGCCCUGACCCCGGCUGAAGGCAGAGAAGUUCGGGGCUCCCCUUAAGAACCUACUAAAAACCAUUUUCCUCCUAGGAGAGUCUGGGUGUGUGGUGUAUGAGUAAAGGAAUGCAUGAAUGAAUGAAUGAAAAAAUAUUCCUUUUCCUAUAUGCCAGACUAAGUGCUGGGAUGGAGUUAGAUAGACCCUCCUUUUUUUAAACACUUACCUUCUGUCUUAGUAUCAAUUCUGAGACAGAAGAGUGGUAAGAGCUAAGCAAAGAUGGUUAAAUGACUUGCUCAGGGUCACACAGCUAGGAAGUGUUUGAAGCUGAAUUUGAACUCAGGUCUUUAGGCCCAUUUCUCUCUUCACUGAGUCACAGCUGCCUCUCCAAGUGCUAUAUAAAUUCCAGCUGUUUUUAGUAACGGGGU